rnacentral:rRNA from 1 species
GAUCAUGGCUCAGGAUGAACGCUGACGGCGCGCCUAACACAUGCAAGUCGAACGGCACCCCUCUCCGGAGGGAAGCGAGUGGCGAACGGCUGAGUAACACGUGGAGAACCUGCCCCCUCCCCCGGGAUAGCCGCCCGAAAGGACGGGUAAUACCGGAUACCCCGGGGUGCCGCAUGGCACCCCGGCUAAAGCCCCGACGGGAGGGGAUGGCUCCGCGGCCCAUCAGGUAGACGGCGGGGUGACGGCCCACCGUGCCGACAACGGGUAGCCGGGUUGAG